GUUAAAAGACACGAUGUUUAUUAUCACGAACAAUGUUUAUUAAGAAGUAUGAAGAGAAGUGAAGUUAGUAGAACUGUAGAGUUUGAAGUGUGUGGAAUAACUGUAGAAGUGUCGCUUGUGAAAUGUGUAGAAUAACUGACCUUCCUAAACCCUUGUCCCUCACCAGCAACCCUUCAGGUUGAUGGGUGGUGACAAGAAAUUUGGAAGUAGGAAGAAAGUAAUAGAUUGGAUUGGUAGAAGAAAGUGUAUGACAUUGAAGAGAGGGAAAGCUGACCAUUGGAUUCUGGGAAUCCGAGUCGUGCCAAACCGUCCGACUCGGGGAUUAGGUUUUUCAAGUGGGACUUAAGUGCUUGAAACCUACACUCGUUUCGUACUACGCGGCCCGCACGCUGGAUCCUGUUGCGCCUGUUAUCCCAGAGUGAAUCCUGUCGACGUGACGAAACUAUGUAAGUUUUCAAUCUACGUUAUUAUUGCUUGGAGUCAAGUCGAUGCUCGCCCGUUUCGCUGCGGUGCGCGCUCUCUCACUGCCGGCGUUUGGAUAUUUCUUCCCUCGUCGUCGUUUUUGCUCGAGGAUCCACAUUUCUUGGGUAGAAUCUGAAUCCUUGACCUUUGCCCUUUCUAAUGGCCGUUGCACUCGCUCGUAUCACCUAGCAUCAGGGGC